AAAACAGACAUCAGAAUCAGAAGCUGGAAGUCUGAUACCCUUCACUAGUCCUGGAAUUAAGCAAGGGAUGCGGGAGAGACUAACUAGGGAAUCAUCUCUCCAGUGAAGCCAUGCAAUGCUGAAGCAUCUGAACAAGAAGCAUCAUUUCCAAUACUCAGUGUAAUCAGAAGGAUACCAUCCUCCUGAAUAGAAUCCUACUGGAUUAAAAGGAUGCUGCUGAGUGGCACUAACUGCCCUGGCAAGGACAAGAAAACUAAAGACUUGGUACACCUGCCUCCAUGAAGGAGGGAUCAAGAGAAGCCACUGUUUGGUUGUGAGGGACCAGGUUAGAGGCCUUUCUCCAGAUCAUGAGACUACACGUCUCAUGCAGUCUCCCUAGGCAGUCUGCAGAAGAAACACAAAGACUGAUGAGUGCUAAAGAGAUACUUUCACUCACUGAAG